GGUUCUAUAUUUCUUCCUGGGAAAAAAAUCAAAUUCAUCCAAAUGCUCUCUUCUUAUAUAAAAGAAAGACACAAACCCAAGCGUUUAACCAUGGUUAGUGUUUAGCCACCUUUAAAAAAAAAAGAAAACGUAGGGCUUUUGUUUUUCCUGGAAGAAAAUAGAAGUAGGGCUCUUUGUUUUCUUUAGUUUUGGACCUUUUGUGUUCAACAAAAUAAAAAGGAAAAUUUUGGGGUGAAUGAAAUAGGAUAGCUUUCGACCUCAUUUCCUCCUGCUUGUCUUUUCUUCUGCUGCAAAAGAAUACGAUAUAUAGGGAUGGAUAGGGUUGAUAGACAAAGAAAAGGAAAGGUGAUUUUAAUUGCUUUUUGAGCUUUGUUUAUUCUUUGCAAAUAGAAGCUGUUACUAUUGCUAUUGGUAUUGAGUCAUAGAAUAUAUAGAAUAGAAUAAGAAAGAGAGAGAGAAGGGGCAAAGCUAUAGAAAGGGAGAGAUUGUAUUAAUGGGGUUUCCGAAAUCUGGAUAGUGGUCAAAGAUACUGGUCCAGUUGCUUUAGGGUCUUGACUCUUGAGAAUCUUGUAUACAAAAAAAUACCAAGGGGCAUAUUUGAAUGAAUUUUUGGAUUCGUAUACAGUAGGGUAAAAGAGCUGCAAACAUUAAAAAAAGAAGUCAUUGGAGAUUAGAUUUUGAUGAUUUGUUUGGGUUUAUGAUAGCUGGCUAUUGGUUGUUGAAUAAAAGUUUAUUGAUAGGAAAAGAUUGAUGGGUAAGACGAAGCCUCAAAAGACCAAGGAACUUUCAGUAGCAAUAGCUGAGGCUUCAUCAGCGGGAGAACAGGCACAGCAUCAACAAUCACAGCCUCAGGCUCAGACUCCUAGAAAGAGAGGUAGACCACGAAAAAUUGUUGAGAAAACUGAAACUGAAGAGAUAAAAGAAGAGGAAGCAGCAGAAGUUAUGGAGGGCCAAUCAAAGAAAGUAAAACUUAUUGAGGAACAACAACAACCACAGCAAGUAAAAGAAGAAGAAGAGCAAAAGCUACAAGCAAAGACAGAGGCAUCAUCAGCUUCGAUGGGAGGUCUAAAGAAGGGAGAGGGACAAUCAGUGGCGGAGAGGGAGCCUCCAAGAAGGAGAACAAGAAGAAAAAGCAAACCCAGAAAGAGCAGCUAAUAUUGCUUUAACUCGUUACUGGGUCUCAUCUUUUACCUUCAUAAAAUCUGUCAGAUGCACCCGACAAAGGGAAAGAAAACCUAGCUAGCUGCUCUAUUAUAUCGGUAGAUAAAGACACUUCGAGCCAAAAAAUGGUUUUGCUUAUUUUGCUGUAGGAAUUUUUUAAUGUUUGGUGGCAUUGAGUGAGGUGAGUGAAAGCCAGAUUGAAAUCUGACGGUGAGGGGAAGAGGAAAAACUGAGUGGAGGUUACGUAUUUAGCCGGUGACACUGCCAGCUCUGCCUUAUAAGGAACAGACGCGGAGUUAUAAUUGCUCUGGACAAGAAAAAAACUGGGACUGCUGCGAACUCAUUUCCACUAGCACGUGAUUGCCACGCCCUAGCCAUCAAUAACACAACCUCUGGCCGCCCCAGUAAGUCCAAUGCCACCGGAGGGCAAUCUCUGAUUCUGAUGGGGUUCUUCUUUACCACGAAACUCGAGUGACAGUGACUUCCAAGUGAAAUAAUGACGUGGAGUUGGUUUUAGUUUGAGGCACUGGUAAUGGACAAAGUCCAAAAAAAAAAAAAAAAAA